rnacentral:snRNA from 1 species
UUGCCUUAAACUAAUGAGUAAGGAAAACAAUGCGAGCGGUGAGAACCGGUCGCUGCGCUGUUAAAACAAUAUCUUGGCGCAUUAAUUUAUGGAGGGUCGAUAGGCUGGCCGAGUGCUGACGCUGCUUACUUUUGCAGAACUCACUUGUGCGGGCCUCCCC